AGGACGAACGCUGGCGGCGUGCUUAACACAUGCAAGUCGAGCGGAAAGGCCCUUCGGGGUACUCGAGCGGCGAACGGGUGAGUAACACGUGAGCAACCUGCCCUUAGCUCUGGGAUAGCUCCGGGAAACCGGAAUUAAUACCGGAUACGACCUAGGCCGACAUCGGCCAUGGUGGAAAGUUUUUCGGCUAGGGAUGGACUCGCGGCCUAUCAGCUAGUUGGUGGGGUAAAGGCCUACCAAGGCGACGACGGGUAGCCGGCCUGAGAGGGCGACCGGCCACACUGGGACUGAGACACGGCCCAGACUCCUACGGGAGGCAGCAGUGGGGAAUCUUGCGCAAUGGGCGAAAGCCUGACGCAGCAACGCCGCGUGGAGGACGAAGGCUUUCUGAGUUGUAAACUCCUUUCAGCAGGGACGAUAGUGACGGUACCUGCAGAAGAAGCACCGGCCAACUACGCGCCAGCAGCCGC
rnacentral:rRNA from 1 species